UACGGGGGGGGGCAAGCGUUGUUCGGAAUUACUGGGCGUAAAGGGCGCGUAGGCGGCCUUCUAAGUCGAACGUGAAAUCCCUGGGCUCAACCCAGGAACUGCGUCCGAUACUGGAAGGCUUGAAUCCGGGAGAGGGAUGCAGAAUUCCAGGUGUAGCGGUGAAAUGCGUAGAUAUCUGGAGGAAUACCGGUGGCGAAGGCGGCAUCCUGGUCCAGCACCGACGUUCAGGCACGAAAGCGUGGGGAGCAAACAGG
rnacentral:rRNA from 1 species